AUAAGAGGAAUAUUAUCAAGCUUUGAAAGUGAAGUUGAUAUUUAAUCCGCCCAUGAAUUUCAAAUUCAAGGACGUGAUUCCCGGCCAGGGGUAUGAAGAGAAUCAGCAUUCAGAACAAAGGAAUCAAGUGGUCAAGCUGGUCAGCGCAGAAGGAGCUGGAGCCGAACAAUGGCCCCUUGGAAGAAAAACCUUGUUGGCUGUUGAAGACACAGUAUUGCCACUUGAAUUCAGAAAUGAGAUUACCCAAUCGCUAAGCCCAUAGAAAUUCUGAGCGCUGUAGCCAGGGUAAAAGAAUCGUUGGUCUGCUCAGCCCUGUGGAGCCAGGAAAUGAGCCACCCAGGCCCAAAGACCUUUGCAGUCCACAAAAAAACAGGUAAUGAAUAGUUAAGGGACAACUAUGACCUUGAAGGGAGUAAGUUUUGCUUGUAAAACUGCUCCCUA
rnacentral:lncRNA from 1 species